AGCGAGGUGGGGAAGUAAGGUCAUCCCGGCGGGCUCAUAACCCACAAAUCAGUAGUUCAAAUCUACUCCUCGCUA
rnacentral:tRNA from 1 species